rnacentral:rRNA from 1 species
AGCGAACGCUGGCAGCGUGGAUAAGGCAUGCAAGUCGUGCGAUCCCCGCAAGGGGAUAGCGGCAAACGGGUGCGUAACACGUGAGGAAUCUACCCUGAAGGCCGGGAUAACGUCGUGAAAGCGGCGCUAAUACCGGAUAUGCCCACUGCCCCCGCAUGGGGGUGUGGGGAAAGCGGGCCUCGACCGCAAGGUUGCUCGUGCUUCAGGAGGACCUCGCGUCCCAUCAGCUAGUUGGUAGGGUGACGGCCUACCAAGGCUUUUGACGGUAGCUGGCCUGAGAGGGUGGUCAGCCACACUGGGAUUGAGAUACUGCCCAGACUCCUACGGGAGGCUGCAGUCGAGGAUCUUUGGCAAUGGGCGAAAGCCUGACCAUGCGACGCUGCGUGCGGGAU